rnacentral:rRNA from 1 species
UACGGAGGGGGCUAACGUUGUUCGGAAUUACUGGGCGUAAAGCGCACGUAGGCGGCCUGGAAAGGCAGGGGUGAAAUCCCGGGGCUCAACCCCGGAACUGCCUUUGAAACUCCCAGUCUUGAGGUCGAGAGAGGUGAGUGGAAUUCCGAGUGUAGAGGUGAAAUUCGUAGAGAUUCGGAGGAACACCAGUGGCGAAGGCGGCUCACUGGCUCGAUACUGACGAUGAGGUGCGAAAGCGUGGGGAGCAAACAGG